rnacentral:rRNA from 1 species
UACGUAGGGGGCAAGCGUUGUCCGGAAUCAUUGGGCGUAAAGAGCGCGUAGGCGGCCCAGUCAGUCCGCUCUGAAAGUCAGGGGCUCAACCCCUGAAUGCGGGUGGAUACUGCUGGGCUAGAGUCCGGAAGAGGCGAGUGGAAUUCCUGGUGUAGCGGUGAAAUGCGCAGAUAUCAGGAGGAACACCGAUGGCGAAGGCAGCUCGCUGGGACGGUACUGACGCUGAGGCGCGACAGCGUGGGGAGCAAACAGG